GACAGAGGUGCCGAGCGUUAGGCGGAAUCACUGGGCUUAAAGCGUGUGUAGGCGGAUCGUUAAGUCCCUUGUGAAAUCCCACGGCUCAACCGUGGAACUGCUGGGUAUACUGGCGAUCUUGAGCCACCUAGGGGCGAGCGGAACAAGCGGUGGAGCGGUGAAAUGCGUAGAUAUCGGGAGGAACACCGGUGGCGAAGGCGGCGACCUGGGUCGAGACUGACGCUGAGGCGCGAAAGCGUGGGGAGCAAACAGG
rnacentral:rRNA from 1 species